rnacentral:rRNA from 1 species
GAUGAACGCUGGCGGCGUGCCUAAUACAUGCAAGUCGAGCGAACAGACGAGGAGCUUGCUCCUCUGACGUUAGCGGCGGACGGGUGAGUAACACGUGGAUAACCUACCUAUAAAACUGGGAUAACUUCGGGAAACCGGAGCUAAUACCGGAUAAUAUAUUGAACCGCAUGGUUCAAUAGUGAAAGACGGUUUUGCUGUCACUUAUAGAUGGAUCCGCGCCGCAUUAGCUAGUUGGUAAGGUAACGGCUUACCAUGGCGACGAUGCGUAGCCGACCUGAGAGGGUGAUCGGCCACACUGGAACUGAGACACGGUCCAGACUCCUACGGGAGGCAGCAGUAGGGAAUCUUCCGCAAUGGGCGAAAGCCUGACGGAGCAACGCCGCGUGAGUGAUGAAGGUCUUCGGAUCGUAAAACUCUGUUAUUAGGGAAGAACAAAUGUGUAAGUAACUAUGCACGUCUUGACGGUACCUAAUCAGAAAGCCACGGCUAACUACGUG